CAACAUAACCCAACUGCGGUCGGGACUCAGUCAGUAGGUGCCUUCCAAGCCUUUCCCCUCACUCUUUGCAGCCCAGCUCCAGGACCUUCUCCAGCUGAAGCAGGAGAACGCCUACCUGACCACCAUCACCAAGCAGAUCACGCCCUACGUCCGCUCCAUUGCCAAGGUGAAGGAGCGGCUGGAGCCCAGGUUUCAGGCACCUGUGGACGAACCGUCAGACCAUCUACAGAACACGUAUGAUGACAGCGGGACUAGUGAGGUUCAGACCAGGAAUGAUCCAGUAAGCGUCUCAGAAAAGAAGGAGAAGACCUCAGAGCCUCGAGGAAACGGCAGGACCCUGAGCAGCCUCACAGAGGAGCCUCCACAGAAAAAUAAAGAUUCUCACAGACCCAAACCGAAACCUGGGGGUGAUGCCCCCACACGGAGAGAGCGCCCAGCUUAGCAACCGGGACUGGCCCCCGGGGUUGAGCAUUUUACAAAGGGUGGGACAUCUAAGAUAAGGCGUACCUGUCAUAAUCUUUUUUCUUUUUAAGGCCACACCCGCGGCAUAUGAAAAUUCCCCAGCAAGGAGUUGAAUUGGGGCUGCAGCUGCCAGCCUACACACAGCCACAGCCACUCAAGAUCCGAGCUGCAUCUGUGACCUAUACUGCAGCUCGCAGCAACAUCAGAUCCUUAACCCACUGAGCAGGGCCAGGGAUGGAACCUGCAUGGACACUGUGGCGGGACCUUAACCUGCUGAGCAACAAUAGGAACUGAUUUUUUUUUUAAAGUGUAAUCAUUUAUCAGCAGCAAACCCAGAAAGUCCCUGCCAAGCCCUAAUUUCAGAGUCUUUGGCUUGGGCUAGACUCUGGGUUGCUUAAAGUCUUGGUUAAAUGAAUGAAUGAACAUCAGCCCCAAGGCCCUCAGUGCCCCUGCGUCUCCCAUGUGCUGGCCCUGUGAGCUCCCGCCUGGGUGCAUCCAUCUGAAUGAUAGAUAACAUGUCUUGCCUGCUAGCCACCUGCCCUGCCUCAGAGGAAUCCAGCUCCUGAUUCACAGCCCAGCUGGGUGCGCCUGGAAACUUCCACCCACUAAUCUGAGCACUGACUCAACAAAAGGGAAAAACCUUUGCUCCAGCUUUUCUCCCUUUAGAGCCCAGGCUAAGCUCAUAAAGCAAAGGAGCAGCACCUGGAAGCAGGGGACAGCCGCCGUCACCUCUCCUCCAUUCCUUUUUCUGACUGCUGUCACUCUCCUGUGUUUGCCUUCCAAUACUAUUAAAGCAUGAUUCACCAGCGACUUUGCUCAGUUUUCCAUGCCUCCCCAGGACUUUUUAUCAAGUGGGACUUAAAAUGCUUAAAAAAGAAAAUUAGCUGCAUGACCUGAAAUUUAAAGUUUUGGAGGCAAAAUGAUGCCCAGAUAAUCACAGUGGUUCAAAUCUCGAAUGGCGUCUCUGCAUCAGGUAGGCCCGCAGGUCCACACACCCAUGGAUCCCUGUCUCAUCGAGAGCCGAGGCUGCUACACGCCUGCCCGGUCAGGGCACGAUGCCCCCAUCCCAGAGCAUCACAAGCUCCCAGGAGGGACCUGUCAUUACAAACUGGUUAGAAGUAGGAAUUCAGAACAGGAUCGAGUCGGCAGAGCACAUCUGGUUUUACGCGGGAGGUUCUGGACGUCUUAGUCAGAAGCAGCAAGAUCUUAGAAUUCCUGAAUCCCACACAAUGACACUAUUGUUCAUAGUGAAAUCAAGUAGUUUUAUUUAAGAAUUGGAAAUAAUCAGUAUCUGUGAAAGAAAAUCCAAUAUUGAAAUAAACAUUUCUGUGUGUAAAAA
ensembl:lncRNA